CCACAAACCAUCUCCCAGUUCGGAUUGCAGGCUGCAGCCCGCCUGCAUGAAGUCGGAAUCGCUAGUAAUCGCAGGUCAGCGGGACUGCGGUGAAUACGUUCCCGGGCCUUGUACACACCGCCCGUCACACCACGGAAGUCAUUCACGCCCAAAGCCGGUGGGCCAACCGCAAGGAGGCAGCCGUCUAAGGCGGGGGCGAUGCUUUUGAAGUCGUAACAAGGUAGCCG
rnacentral:rRNA from 1 species